UUACAACUUUAAGCAACAUGCAGGAAGUUGGGAGAUUCAGAGAAUAUGAGCAGAGGGUUGCCCCAGAUGAGUGAAGGUGGAGCCCUUAAUCAGAAGAGGUCCUGAGGACCUGUGCAUGGUGUGAGAAUAUCCAGCAAGAGAAGAAUGGAGGCUCACAGGAUGAAUGGGCUAAAAGAGCACUAUCAAUGGCUCCAGAAAGUGCACAUCUCAUGCUCUUUACUACUGAAGGCUGUGGCAAGAACUGUUUCUCUCAGUAGCUGAAAUCAAUUUUGGCCCACAGGCCAGGGAGAACAAUUUCCUCACCAAGGCAGGCAGGGGGCGUCUAGAGAGAGAGUGGCAGAUGGAUUUCCCUCCACUUGGAUGACAUCAUGGGAAAGGAAAAGAGGAGAGGAGAAUACUAGGGUGAGUGAAUAACCUUAAAAGAUUGAGUGAUUUCCCAUGGGAGAAUUUCCCCAGUUUAUAAAGAGAAUAUGAUAUUGUUUAUUGGGAAGAUCAAGCAUGUUCCACUUGCAUCAGGAAUGGGAACUUUCCAGAAAGAAGUCAUUAUAGACAAUAAAAUUACUAAUUUUCUGUGUAUUUGAUUUUUAGUAGAUACAUUUAACCCCUUUACAUUAGGAAGGUCUAUAUUAUUACCAGAUGAAGAUAACUCAGCUUGAUGUGCUGCUGCCUGUAAUGAAGAGAGAGGAGGAAGGGACAGAAAGAAGGGGAUUGAGUCUGCCAAUAGGAAUUUCCUCUAGGAAGGGGACAGAAGACAAACUAAAGACAUUUUUCACUGUAUAGUUUCUGUACCUUUUUCAUUUGUUCCACAUUAACUAUUCAAAAAACAAAAUAACAUUAAAUUCUUUUCAUCUCAUGAGAA